AGCAGCCGCGGUAAUUCCAGCUCCAAUAGCGUAUAUUAAAGUUGUUGCAGUUAAAAAGCUCGUAGUUGAACUUCGGGAUUUGCCCAUUGGUCAGGCUUAACUGUCUGCACUGGUGUGACGAGUUCCUACCUUCUGAGGAAUCUCCAUGUCAUUCAGUUGGUGUGGGGGGAAAUCAGGACUGUUACUUUGAAAAAUUAGAGUGUUUAAAGCAGGCAUCCGUCUGAAUACAUUAGCAUGGAAUAAUAAAAUAGGACGGUUUGGUUCUAUUUUGUUGGUUUCUAGGAUCACCGUAAUGAUUAAUAGGGAUAGUUGGGGGCAUUAGUAUUCAAUUGUCAGAGGUGAAAUUCUUGGAUUUAUUGAAGACUAACUACUGCGAAAAGCAUUUGCCAAGGAUGUUUUCAUUAAUCAAGAACGAAAGUUAGGGGAUCGAAGACGAUCAGAUACCGUCGU
rnacentral:rRNA from 1 species